ACAGGUGUUGCAUUGGCUGUCGUCAGCUCGUGUCGUGAGAUGUUCGGUUAAGUCCGCUAACGAGCGCAACCCGCGUUGUGUGUUUAUAUGUGUCACACAAUACCGCCGGAUUUAAGCCGGAGGAAGGUGCGGAUGACGUCAAGUCAGCAUGACCUUUAUAUCCAGGGCUACACACACGCUACAAUGGACAGUACAACAGGUUGCCAAGCCGCGAGGCGGAGCCAAUCCUCUAAAAGCUGUCCUCAGUUCAGAUUGCAGGCUGCAACUCGCCUGCAUGAAGUUGGAGUUGCUAGUAACCGCAGGUCAGCUAUACUGCGGUGAAUACGUUCCCGGGGAUU
rnacentral:rRNA from 1 species